GGGACUUCAGUGACCAGAAAUGACAGCAUACAAGUGAAGUGGAUUGUUCACUUGUAUGCUGUCAUUUCUGGUCACUGAAGUCCCCU